ACACAUCAUCCAACACUGAUCAUGAGUCAAAGUUGAUAAAAAGUGUGGUCGAUCAGGUGUUAGAUAAAGAUGACUGUGAGGAGUCAAAUAUGAAGUCCAAACCCGAGUCAAAGUCUGAGUCCGAUACGUCAAAGCCAACAAUCAAAAGGACAAACAGGGAAAACGACAGAGGCUGAGAAAGAACAAGCAUUCAGAAAGCAGACCAAUCAGGAAUUCCUUGCCAAGAAGCAAGAAGUAGUGGAAAAGAAUGUUGUUCAGAAGAAGAUAGAAAUGAGAACCUGUUUUCAGUGCAAGACUGCUGGUCAUAUUGCUAGAAACUGUUCUAAAACAUUUAAACCAAAACAGGAAGUCUCUGGUAAACUGAAAGAGAAAGUUGUUGAGAAAACUGAACUUACAACCCGAAAA